rfam:Gossypium arboreum cultivar AKA8401 contig_3755_5, whole genome shotgun sequence.
UGUUAAAAUUCCAUCCAUUUCUACUAUUAAUGACUUGAUUGACAAAAUAACUAGAUAGUUAUACGUGAAGGGUCGUGCAUAUCUCAUUUUGAUGUACAAAAUCAAUUUUUAACAGUAGAAAUUGAUAGAAUUUUUAACA